rnacentral:tmRNA from 1 species
AUUCGCUUUGCCGGUCGCAAGGCCGGCUAUGGCGAUAAACGUUCUUCGAAAUAAACCUAUCGGACCCGGGGGCGGUACCCGGCGCCUCCACCAAGACCCAGGACCGAUGGCCGCAAGGCCCGGCUCGGCUUCAGGCCUGGGUUUCGGCGGGGGCGAAAUAGGAUCGACGAGGGCGUAAAGGGUGAACUUUUGCUCGGCAUGGUUCCGCCGUUAUCGGGCCUCUGCAAUAGUUGCCAAUGACAACUUUGCUCCGGUCGCUGUCGCCGCGUAAGCGGUGCCGGUUACCGAAAUCAAGUCCUAGCGGGUAGCACUGCAUAGGCGGGGUUCGGAGGUACCUGGCAACAGAAACCUCCACUUUCAUU